AAGUCGUAACAAGGUUUCCGUAGGUGAACCUGCGGAAGGAUCAUUAUUGAAUAAACCUGAUGUGACUGUUAGCUGGCUUUUCGAAGCAUGUGCUCGUCCGUCGUCUUUAAUCUCUCCACCUGUGCACAUUUUGUAGUCUUGGAUACCUCUCGAGGCAACUCGGAUUUUAGGAUCGCCGUGCUGCACAAGUCGGCUUUCCUUUCAUUUCCAAGACUAUGUUUUUAUAUACACCAAAGUAUGUUUAAAGAAUGUCAUCAAUAGGAACUUGUUUCCUAUAAAAUUAUACAACUUUCAGCAACGGAUCUCUUGGCUCUCGCAUCGAUGAAGAACGCAGCGAAAUGCGAUAAGUAAUGUGAAUUGCAGAAUUCAGUGAAUCAUCGAAUCUUUGAACGCACCUUGCGCUCCUUGGUAUUCCGAGGAGCAUGCCUGUUUGAGUGUCAUUAAAUUCUCAACCUUCCAGCUUUUUAUAAGCUUGGUUAGGCUUGGAUGUGGGGGUUGUGGGCUUCAUUAAUGAGGUCAGCUCUCCUUAAAUGCAUUAGCGGAACUUUUGUGGACCGUCUAUUGGUGUGAUAAUUAUCUACGCCGUGGAUGUGAAGCAGAUUUAUGAAGUUCAGCUUCUAACCGUCCAUUGACUUGGACAUUUUUGACAAUUUGACCUCAAAUCAGGUAGGACUACCCGCUGAACUUAAGCAUAUCAAUAAGCGGAGGAAAAGAAACUAACAAGGAUUCCCCUAGUAACUGCGAGUGAAGCGGGAAAAGCUCAAAUUUAAAAUCUGGCAGUCUUUGGCUGUCCGAGUUGUAAUCUAGAGAA
rnacentral:misc_RNA from 1 species